rnacentral:lncRNA from 1 species
UUCUUCUCAAGGUGUCCAAGUUACACAGACUCGCAGAAUCUCACAGGUGUCUUAGAAUUUCUCUUCCUGGGACUCUCAGAGGAUCCAGAACUGCAGCCCGUCCUCGUUGGGCUGUUCCUGUCCAUGUACCUGAUCACGGUGCUGGGGAACCUGCUCAUCAUCCUGGCCGUCAGCUGUGACUCCCACCUCCACACCCCCAUGUACUUCUUCCUCUCCAACUUGUCCUUGGCUGACAUCGGACUCACCUCUGCCACCAUCCCUAAGAUGAUUGUUGAUAUGCAAUCUCACAGCAGAAUCAUCUCCUAUGAGGGCUGCCUGAUGCAGAUGUCUUUAUCUAUUUUGUGUGUAUGAAUGACAUGGUCCUGACUGUGAUGGCCUAUGACCAGUUUGUGGCCAUUUGUCACCCCCUACGCUACCCAGUCAUCAUGAAUCCCCAUCUCUGUGUCUUCUUAGUUUUGGUGUCUUUUAUUCUUAGCCUGUUGAACUCCCAGCUGCACAAUCAGAUUGUGUUACAAUUCACCUGCUUCAAGAAUGUGGAAAUCUUUAAUUUUUUCUGUGAGCCAUCUCAACUUCUCAACCUUGCCUGUUCUGACAGUGUCAUCAAUAACAUAUUCAUGUAUUUAGAUAGUGUUAUAUUUGGUUUUCUUCCCAUCUCAGGGAUCCUUUUGUCUUACUAUAAAAUUGUCUCCUCCAUUCUAAGAAUUCCAUCAUCAGAUGGGAAGUAUAAAGCCUUCUCCACAUGUGGCUCUCACCUGGCAGUUGUUUGCUUAUUUUAUGGAACAGGACUUGGAGCCUACCUCAGUUCAGCUGCGUCCUCUUUCCCCAGGAAGGGUGCGGUCACCUCAGUGAUGUACACUGUGGUCAUCCCUAUGCUGAACCCCUUCAUCUACAGCCUGAGAAACAGGGACAUUAAAAGUGCCCUGUGGAGGCUGCACAGCAGAACAGUCUAA